UCUCUGUAGUCGCCGAUGCUCGGAGCUCC
rnacentral:sRNA from 1 species